rnacentral:rRNA from 1 species
UACAGGGGGUGCAAACGUUGCUCGGAAUUAUUGGGCGUAAAGCGCACGUAGGCGGUUUGUUAUGUCGGAUGUGAAAGCCCUUGGCUCAACUGAGGAAGUGCAUCCGAAACUGGCAAGCUAGAGUAUGUAAGAGGGUCGCGGAAUUCCCAGUGUAGAGGUGAAAUUCGUAGAUAUCGGGAGGAACACCGGUGGCGAAGGCGGCGACCUGGGACAAUACUGACGCUGAGGUGCGAAAGCGUGGGGAGCAAACAGG